GUGCUCGCUUCGGCAGCACAUACACUAAAAUUGGAACGAUACAGAGAAGCCUGGGUCACUGCCCAAUGGGACUCUCUAGCGAUGCCUACAAGGAAAACAUAAAUUU
rnacentral:snRNA from 1 species